UUGCUCUUCAACGAGGAAUGCCUAGUAAGCGCAUGUCAUCAGCAUGCGUUGAUUACGUCCCUGCCCUUUGUACACACCGCCCGUCGCUACUACCGAUUGAAUGGCUCAGUGAGGCCUUCGGACUGGCUCGAAAAGGUUGGCAACGACCACUUCGAGCCGGAAAGUUGGUCAAACUCGGUCAUUUAGAGGAAGUAAAAGUCGUAACAAGGUUUCCGUAGGUGAACCUGCGGAAGGAUCAUUACCUAGAGUUGUAGGCUUUGCCUGCUAUCUCUUACCCAUGUCUUUUGAGUACCUUCGUUUCCUCGGCGGGCCCGCCCGCCGAUUGGACAUAUUCAAACCCUUUGCAGUUGCAAUCAGCGUCUGAACAAACUUAAUAGUUACAACUUUCAACAACGGAUCUCUUGGUUCUGGCAUCGAUGAAGAACGCAGCGAAAUGCGAUAAGUAGUGUGAAUUGCAGAAUUCAGUGAAUCAUCGAAUCUUUGAACGCACAUUGCGCCCCCUGGUAUUCCGGGGGGCAUGCCUGUUCGAGCGUCAUUUCACCACUCAAGCCUCGCUUGGUAUUGGGCAACGCGGUCCGCCGCGUGCCUCAAAUCGUCCGGCUGGGUCUUCUGUCCCCUAAGCGUUGUGGAAACUAUUCGCUAAAGGGUGUUCGGGAGGCUACGCCGUAAAACAACCCCAUUUCUAAGGUUGACCUCGGAUCAGGUAGGGAUACCCGCUAAACUUAAGCAUAUCAAUAAGCGGAGGA
rnacentral:rRNA from 1 species